UUCGACUGUCUGAGGGUCGG
rnacentral:rRNA from 1 species